rnacentral:lncRNA from 1 species
GGUGGAGCGUUUAGGAGUCUCAACAUGUAAAGGGUGGUUGGAGUUUCAAAGAGCUGAGAAAGAACUUGACGAGGGAUGGCAGAGAGGUACGAAGUUCAGGAAAGUGAUGUCGUGAAGCCAAGGGAGAGAGAUGUGAGAAGAGAAUGGCAACAUGUUGAAAGUUGCACGGAGGUCAAAUAAAAGGGAAGACACCUCCAUACAUUUAGGAAAAAGCUGGAGGCAGAAACGAGACUGUAGUGCGUUGGAGAGUGAAUGGGAGAGAGAUGAACAUAGUGUAUAUGCUGGCCUAAGAAAGGCAAGCAAGAGAUUGGGCAGGACCCAGAGGAGAUGUUGGAUUGUGGGAGGUGUCUGCAUUCCUUCAAAAGCAGACCUUGAAACAGAAUUGAGUGCAAGUGGUUUAUUUUGGAGAUGAUCCCAGGAAACACCAAUAUGGGUGGCGGGUGAAGAAAGGAGACAUCAGUAAAGAAUAUUUCAGCAAGCAAGAUGAAUGUGGGAAUAUGGAGCUUAACUUUAUUGGGUAACCCUGGAAGACAGUAUGGACUGUGUAUUCAAAGUUAAUUCCCCAUUAACUUUGGGGAGCUGGGAUAUAUUUAUCCACCAAUUUUAGUCAUUGGUUGAGCUUCCGUUCCUUGGGGAUUGGGGAAGCAUUAAUUUCCCAGGCACCUUUAGCAGGCCAUGUGCAUGGGGAAAGGAGGCUCUGGCAGCCAGAUAAAGUCCUCACGUAAAAAGACAGGAGAUGGCAGUUGGAAGUUGGAUGAAAGUGAUGAAAAUGACUUAUCUUCUGCUGUGUUACCCUGGUUGACUCCAGUUUGGCUUCUACUCCAUGGAAGAGGUUUUACAUUUCAUCUGGCCCUGUGAAUGUGGACUCCGUUUCUCCCCUCCCUGUGCUGACAUUUCUUCCAUUUUGUCCCCCUGAGUGGUGCAAGACAGGAACUUGGAUGGAGCCAGAGGCCAUUAUCCUUAGC